ACGGAAGGCAGCAGUGGGGAAUAUUGCACAAUGGGCGCAAGCCUGAUGCAGCGAUGCCGCGUGAGGGAAGAAGGUUUUCGGAUUGUAAACUUCUUUUACCAGGGACGAAGGACGUGACGGUACCUGGAGAAAAAGCAACGGCUAACUACGUGCCAGCAGCCGCGGUAAUACGUAGGUUGCAAGCGUUGUCCGGAUUUACUGGGUGUAAAGGGCGUGUAGGCGGAGCUGCAAGUCAGAUGUGAAAUCCCGGGGCUCAACCCCGGAACUGCAUUUGAAACUGUAGCCCUUGAGUAUCGGAGAGGCAAGCGGAAUUCCUAGUGUAGCGGUGAAAUGCGUAGAUAUUAGGAGGAACACCAGUGGCGAAGGCGGCUUGCUGGACGACAACUGACGCUGAGGCGCGAAAGCGUGGGGAGCAAACAGGAUUAGAUACCCUGGUA
rnacentral:rRNA from 1 species